rnacentral:rRNA from 1 species
CAACGCCUGGAAACGGGUGCUAAAACCGGAUAGGUAGAGAGAUCGCAUGAACUUUCUAUUAAAGGGGCUACGGCCCUGAACAUGGAUGGACCUGCGGUGCAUUAGCUAGUUGGUGAGGUAACGGCCCACCAAGGCGACGAUGCAUAGCCGACCUGAGAGGGCGAACGGCCACAUUGGGACUGAGACACGGCCCAAACUCCUACGGGAGGCAGCAGUAGGGAAUUUUCGUCAAUGGGGGGAACCCUGAACGAGCAAUGCCGCGUGAGUGAAGACGGUCUUCGGAUUGUAAAGCUCUGUUGCGAGAGAAAACGACACGGAUAGGGAAUGAUCCGUGGGUGAUGGUAUCUCGCCAGAAAGUCACGGCUAACUACGUGCCAGCAGCCGCGGUAAU